rnacentral:rRNA from 1 species
ACUGCUCAGUAACACGUGGACAACCUACCCUUAGGUCGGGGAUAAACCCGGGAAACUGGGUAUAAUACCGGAUAGAUCUCGACUGCUGGAAUGCAUCGAGAUCUAAAGCUCCGGCGCCUAAGGAUGGGUCUGCGGCCUAUCAGGUAGUAGUGGGUGUAGCGUACCUACUAGCCUACGACGGGUACGGGUUGUGAGAGCAAGAGCCCGGAGAUGGAUUCUGAGACACGAAUCCAGGCCCUACGGGGUGCAGCAGGCGCGAAAACUUUACAAUGCUGGAAACAGCGAUAAGGGGACCUCGAGUGCCAGGUUACAAAUCUGGCUGUCGUGAUGCCUAAAAAGCAUUGCAUAGCAAGGGCCGGGCAAGACCGGUGCCAGCCGCCGCGGUAACACCGGCGGCUCGAGUGGUAACCGUUAUUAUUGGGUCUAAAGGGUCUGUAGCCGGCCGGAUAAGUCUCUUGGGAAAUCCAGCAGCUCAACUGUUGGGCUUUCAGGAGAUACUGUCUGGCUCGAGGCCGGGAGAGGUGAGAGGUACUUCAGGGGUAGGGGUGAAAUCUUGUAAUCCUUGAAGGACCACCAGUGGCGAAGGCGUCUCACCAGAACGGACCUGACGGCAAGGGACGAAAGCUAGGGGCACGAACCGGAUUAGAUACCCGGGUAGUCCUAGCCGUAAACGAUACUCGCUAGGUGUCGGCCACGGUGCGACCGUUGUCGGUGCCGUAGGGAAGCCGUGAAGCGAGCCACCUGGGAAGUACGGCCGCAAGGCUGAAACUUAAAGGAAUUGGCGGGGGAGCA